GUCCAAGUCUCGCCUCCUCCAGAAAGCCUCCCAGGACUGCUGGCCCCAGACACAAAACUCCCAAGGGAAGGCUGUUCCACCAAAAGUCACGGAUGCAGCGAUAAUGAUGAGUUUGGAGAGGACUGCAGACCCUGAGGCGGAGGUUGGUGCAGGGGCUGGACCUGAAACUGGGUUCACACAACAAGCUCAGACUCCUCUUAACGUUCCUGGUUGGUGACAUUGUGGGGUCUUGGAUGCCCCCUCCUCUCUGUCCCUGGUACUGUCCCUGCCACCUGGGACUCCACUAAGUUCCUUCCCCUCCACCCACAAGGAAAGCCUGCCCAGUGGCCAGCACUCUGUCCCUCAGCCUCAGAACCAGGAGCAUUCUCUCCGCUUCGAUGUCACAGCAGGUAAAAAAAUACACAAAAUAAAAUGAAAUGUCAUGAUCACCUGAGAAGGAAGUUCGGCGUAGGCCCGUAUCACGUGUUUCCAGAGAAGCCACACCUUCGCUAUGAAGCCCUUCCUGGCAUAGAGAAGGGUGGGGCCAGGAAACAGCUGCUAUCCAGCACCCCCAGGCUGACUGAAGCCAGAGUGUAUGGGGGCCAGCGAUGGAACAGAGGGAGCCUCCUGCCCAGGGCAAGCGGGGGGAGACCACCAGGGGCCCCAGGUCCUCAGCACCCACGGGUCCUGCGUUGGGCUCUGCAGAAGCUGGGAGUGGUGAGAGAUAUUGCUCAGCCAGCGGGCCAGCAUCCCACUGAAGAAGAUCAGAAAGAGGCUUCUGAUUCUGUCUCCAGAGCCUUUGAGGUCACUCCUGACGCUGACAUGGCUGUGAAGAGCUGGGUGACAGGCAUUACUGCCUCCAAGGUUGCUUUGAGAGGAAUAGGUGGGGCAUCAGGAAGAAGCCAGCUGCAGCCAUCCAUGGGAGGGAGCUGUGAGACGGCCUGGAAGGACCGGCUCUCACACCCCACAGAGGGAGAGGCUCACCCUGCGCAGGAACAUCCUGGGGCAGCAGGCUCAGCACAUUUUACAUUUUGAAUAUGAACAAAGUAAACUUCAGGGUAAAAAAAAAAACAAAAAUUCGCUGAGCACACAAUGAUUGAGUGUCUGUGGUAUACCUGACGCUUUGCCAGAACCAGGCUUCAAACCUCAGGGUUCUGGGUCCUUGGAGGCCCAGCUCCAACCCCACCUCACCCAAGCACCCUCCACCCCCAUCACGUACCCAUCACCAGGGCUGCCCAGCUUGGGCCAUCUCAGACCACUUGGACUUCCUCCCGAGGCCUCCAGCCCCUCAGGCCUCACACCCUGAGCCCCUCAACCUGGAAACCAGCCACCGGCCUGUACACUAUGGGGGCCCCUGAGGUUUCCACCUCCUGCUACCCUUGGCCUGAAAGGGGUCAGUGGGACCCUGCCCUGGGCCUCUGGGAGGCUGUACCCUUGCUUCUGCCUCAUCCUGUUCUCCAGGGCCCUGUCCCUUUCUUGCUGGGCCCUCCCAGAAUGCCCCCCACCCCCAGUCACUGCCCUCACUGGCCUAAGUCACCUCCUCCAGGAAGCCUUCCAGACUGAUGGCUCCCAGCCACUGAGCAUCCCCCAACUUUGCUGAGAAUGGUGGACGCCCACCAUGGGCCCUCGGAAGCCGGAGAAGCCUGGGCCUCCCUGCAGGGGCUGCCACAGAGUUUUCCUGCCACUGCAGUUCCACCCAGGUCAAUCCCUUUCCUGCUUGUGUUUCCCAAGAAUAACUGUGGAACAUGCUGGAAAUGCAACAUCCUGAGAUAGGGAGAACAGCCUGAAGCAGCCAGGGCCUAGUUCCUGUCGCUCCAGGAGAAGGGAACAUGAUGAGUUAGAGAGUGGCCCCUGAAGAAGAAAGCGAGACAAAAAUCCCU
ensembl:lncRNA